rnacentral:tRNA from 1 species
GGCUCCCUGGCUCAGUGGUUAGAGCACUGGUCUUAUAAACCAUGGGUCACGAGUUCAAUGCUCCCUGGGACCUC